ACCACCCCCACCCCCCGUCCCCGUCCCCCACCUCCACCAUGGCCGGGUGCUGCGCCCGGCGGGCGUCCAGGUGAGCCAGCAGCGCCUGCGCCAGCACCGCCGUGUCCUCGGGGCCCCUGGGGACACGGGGACGUGGGACAGGGGGACACGGGGACAGGGGACAGGGGGACACAGGUUUUGGGGACAUAGGACAUGGGACACAGGGACAGGGGGAUAUGGGGGCAGGGGACAUGGGACACAGGGACAUGGAUGUUGGGGACAGGGGACACAGGGACACGGGGACAGGGGGACACGGGUGUUGGAGACAUGGGGCAGUGGUCUUGGGGACCUGGGGACAUGGGACACAGGGACAUGGGGACAUGGAUGUUGGGGACAUGGGACAUGGGGACACAGGGACGUGGGGACAUGGGGACAUCGGUGUUGGGGACAUUGGGAUGCAGGGACAUCAGGACACAGGGACAUGGGGACAUGGGGGACAUGGGGAUGUUGGCGUUGGGGACAUGGGACAUGGACAUGGGGACAUGGGCGUUGGGGACAGAGGAGAUGGGAACAGAGGGACACAGGGACACGGGGACACAGGGACGUCGGUGUUGGGGACGGGACAUGGGACAUGGGGAGAUGGGGACAUGGGGACAGAGUGACAUGGGGACACAGAAACAGUGACAUGGGGACAUCGGUUGGGGACAUGGGGAC
rnacentral:lncRNA from 1 species